rnacentral:lncRNA from 1 species
UAACAUAGAGAUUCCUUAUAUAGCAGAUUACACCGUCAUAGAUAAAAGGAAAGAGUACAAAUCAUAAUCCAACUAGGAAAAAGGAAAACAUAAAGACAUAAAAAAAAGUAAAAGCUGACCGACUCUCUCUUUCUUGGACCGCUGAUGGUUUAAUCUCUGGAUUAUGAGCCAUCCACAAUCUGGUUUAUAACCGUUAUUUUUAAUUAUGAGCAUUGUAAUUUUAAAAUCAACUCACAACAUAUGAGCAUAUAUUUACCAUUCCUCUUAACCAGUAACCAAAAAGAAACGUAAUAAACACCCAAGCCUUAUAUAUAAAUUUUUUUUUAACCACCACCCAAGCCUUAUAAUAUCUAACAUUCCCCUUAAUAGGAAAGUAUUCUUAUAUGCCCUAGUUAGAAAAUUUAUAUUCUUACUGUCCCACUUUUUUUCUAACUACCCCACCU